CAUGUCUAUGACCUACGCCAUGACUCACGGCAACACCCCAUCCUUAACCCACAGAGCGAGGCCAGGGAUCAAACCUGCAACCUCAUGGUUCCUAGUCAGAUUCGUUUCCACUGUGCCACAAUGGAAACUCCCAACCAUAAAAUUUAAAUAAACAAAUUAAUUUAAAGUCUUCCUGUACUGUGAAAAUGAUGGGUGUCAGUAACCUAUAUUCUCUAAGCUUAGAAACAUCAGAAGAAAGACAAUUUAAAAAAAAGAAAAAAGAUAGAGCCAAAUAUCCAACUGCCAAGAACUGUCAAGUAAAAAGGCAAACAUUGUACGUAGUAUGCUAUUGUUCGAGGUUUUUUAAAAGAGCAAAGAGCUAUCUAUGUACAUGUCAUCUUGCAUCCGCAGACUGACUUUGGCAGAAACUAUGACAAUGCUGCCUCUGGAGAGGGGGCUGGGAGGCUGGGGACAGGAAUGAGAGCGCGAGGUGUUUUAAAUCACUGCAUAUCCCCUUUUUACCUUUUGAAUUUUACAUAAUGUACAUGUUUUGCCUGUUUUAUAUUUGUAAAAUUAGAUUGACUAACUUGGGGGGAGGGGAAAGCAAUACAACAUUUAAAAACUAUGGAAACAUACCCCUUUCAGUGUGAAGCCACCACAGGUUUCUGAGCUGAUCUGUGACUUGGCUCUUUCCAAAAGCUGGGGUUGUGGCUUGUUCUCAUUGGAUGCUGAUUGGGGGUGGGGGCACAUUGGGAGUCAAUUUUGAGAGCUCUUCAAAGGAGAAAACCCACAAGAGUUAUUGGAGAAAUGAGACAAACUUUAAGUGAAAUCUUUGGAGUGGGGUGGAAGACGUGGCUAAGGAGUACAGCUGUGGGGGCUGGUUGUUUUCAGGAGGAAAAGCCUCGGACAAGUGAAAUGGCAGAGACUGGCUAUUGUGCCUUUGGAGGGGAUUACUUUGAAUGGUCUGGAAAAGCUGAGAGGACACCAGGUCUGAUCCCUGUCCCCAGCCUACACUGUGAUGUCAUGAUGAGGAAUAGAAGAGCCAGAGAUGUGAAGUAUCUCACCCAAGACCACACUGCAGGCAAGCAGAGGAGUUGGUGUUUGAAGCGAGAUUCUGACUCCUGGUUUAUUUUAUAAGAUUUGGAGUUUCCGUUGUGGCUCAGCAUGUUACAAACCUGACGAGUAUCCAUGAGGAUGCAGGUUCAAUCCCUGGCCCUGCUCAGUGGGUUAUGGAUCUUGCGUUGCCAUGAGCUGUGGUGUAGGUCACAGGUGCAGCUUGGAGCUGGCGUUGCUCUGGCUGUGGCAUAGUCUGGCAUCUGCAGCUCCAAUCCGACCCCUAGCCUGGGAACUUACAUAUGCCAAGGGUGUGGCCAUAAAAAGAAAGAAAAAAAAAAGAUUGGGUACAAGUUUAUGAAAUGUGAGAGGUCAGCUCCUUAAAUCAGAGAAAAGCCUGAGCAUUUCAGAGAUAAACCUAAAACCCAAUGCUCACAAUUCAGGUUUUAGAGAAAUGGAAUAGCUCCAAUGCAUUAUAAACAGAAACAUUUUCCAUAUUUUGUUUAGUUGCCCCCCCAAAACACAUGCUGGCAAUGUUCUGCUUUACAACUGAGAAGUGGACACUUGAGGGUUUGCUCUGAGCCACGUUUCUGAUUUGUAUGUUUUUCUGAAUGUGUGUUACACUUCACAAGAGUUUUAGAAAUAAACCUGAACUGUCUUAUUGAUGUGUAACCA
ensembl:lncRNA